UCCUGACUGACCGAUAGUGAACCAGUACCGUGAGGGAAAGGCGAAAAGAACCCCGGCGAGGGGAGUGAAAAAGAACCUGAAACCGUGUACGUACAAGCAGUGGGAGCACGCUUAGGCGUGUGACUGCGUACCUUUUGUAUAAUGGGUCAGCGACUUAUAUUCUGUAGCAAGGUUAACCGAAUAGGGGAGCCGAAGGGAAACCGAGUCUUAACUGGGCGUUAAGUUGCAGGGUAUAGACCCGAAACCCGGUGAUCUAGCCAUGGGCAGGUUGAAGGUUGGGUAACACUAACUGGAGGACCGAACCGACUAAUGUUGAAAAAUUAGCGGAUGACUUGUGGCUGGGGGUGAAAGGCCAAUCAAACCGGGAGAUAGCUGGUUCUCCCCGAAAGCUAUUUAGGUAGCGCCUCGUGAAUUCAUCUCCGGGGGUAGAGCACUGUUUCGGCAAGGGGGUCAUCCCGACUUACCAACCCGAUGCAAACUGCGAAUACCGGAGAAUGUUAUCACGGGAGACACACGGCGGGUGCUAACGUCCGUCGUGAAGAGGGAAACAACCCAGACCGCCAGCUAAGGUCCCAAAGUCAUGGUUAAGUGGGAAACGAUGUGGGAAGGCCCAGACAGCCAGGAUGUUGGCUUAGAAGCAGCCAUCAUUUAAAGAAAGCGUAAUAGCUCACUGGUCGAGUCGGCCUGCGCGGAAGAUGUAACGGGGCUAAACCAUGCACCGAAGCUGCGGCAGCGACGCUGAUGCGUUGUUGGGUAGGGGAGCGUUCUGUAAGCCUGUGAAGGUGUGCUGUGAGGCAUGCUGGAGGUAUCAGAAGUGCGAAUGCUGACAUAAGUAACGAUAAAGCGGGUGAAAAGCCCGCUCGCCGGAAGACCAAGGGUUCCUGUCCAACGUUAAUCGGGGCAGGGUGAGUCGACCCCUAAGGCGAGGCCGAAAGGCGUAGUCGAUGGGAAACAGGUUAAUAUUCCUGUACUUGGUGUUACUGCGAAGGGGGGACGGAGAAGGCUAUGUUGGCCGGGCGACGGUUGUCCCGGUUUAAGCGUGUAGGCUGGUUUUCCAGGCAAAUCCGGAAAAUCAAGGCUGAGGCGUGAUGACGAGGCACUACGGUGCUGAAGCAACAAAUGCCCUGCUUCCAGGAAAAGCCUCUAAGCAUCAGGUAACAUCAAAUCGUACCCCAAACCGACACAGGUGGUCAGGUAGAGAAUACCAAGGCGCUUGAGAGAACUCGGGUGAAGGAACUAGGCAAAAUGGUGCCGUAACUUCGGGAGAAGGCACGCUGAUAUGUAGGUGAAGCGACUUGCUCGUGGAGCUGAAAUCAGUCGAAGAUACCAGCUGGCUGCAACUGUUUAUUAAAAACACAGCACUGUGCAAACACGAAAGUGGACGUAUACGGUGUGACGCCUGCCCGGUGCCGGAAGGUUAAUUGAUGGGGUCAGCGCAAGCGAAGCUCUUGAUCGAAGCCCCGGUAAACGGCGGCCGUAACUAUAACGGUCCUAAGGUAGCGAAAUUCCUUGUCGGGUAAGUUCCGACCUGCACGAAUGGCGUAAUGAUGGCCAGGCUGUCUCCACCCGAGACUCAGUGAAAUUGAACUCGCUGUGAAGAUGCAGUGUACCCGCGGCAAGACGGAAAGACCCCGUGAACCUUUACUAUAGCUUGACACUGAACAUUGAGCCUUGAUGUGUAGGAUAGGUGGGAGGCUUUGAAGUGUGG
rnacentral:rRNA from 1 species